GACGAACGCUGGCGGCGUGCCUAAUACAUGCAAGUUGAGCGAUGAAGAUUGGUGCUUGCACCAAUUUGAAGAGCAGCGAACGGGUGAGUAACACGUGGAUAACCUACCUAUAAGACUGGGAUAACUUCUGGAAACCGAUGCUAAUACCGGAUAAUAUAUUUAACCACAAGUUUUAAUAUUGAAAGACGCAAUUGCUUUCACUUAAAAAUGGACCCCGUCGGAGUAAGUAGGUUGGGAGGGUAAGGGCUAACAAAGGCAACAAUGCGUACCCGACCUGAGAGGGUGAUCGGCCACACUGGAACGGAGACACGGUCCAGACCCCAACGGGGGCAACCGGUAGGAAAUCUUCCGCAAUGAGGAAAGGCUUAACGGGGAAACGCCGCGGAGUGAAUGAAGGUCUUCGAACCUAAAACCUCUUUUAUUAGGAAGGAACAAAUUUGGAGUUAAAUAUGCACGUCUUGACGGUACCUAAUCAGAAAGCCACGGCUAACUACGUG
rnacentral:rRNA from 1 species